rnacentral:rRNA from 1 species
GAGUUUGAUCCUGGCUCAGAGCGAACGCUGGCGGCGCGCUUAACACAUGCAAGUCGCACGAGAAAGGGAGCAAUCCUAAGUAAAGUGGCGCACGGGUGAGUAACACGUGGAUCAUCUACCUUUUAGUGGGGAAUACCUCUGGGAAACCGGAGACAAUACCGCAUAAGCCUGUAAAGGGAAAGCAGCAAUGCGCUGAAAGAGGAGUCCGCGGCCGAUUAGCUAGUUGGCGGGGUAAUGGCCCACCAAGGCGAAGAUCGGUAGCCGGCCUGAGAGGGCACACGGCCACACUGGCACUGAAACACGGGCCAGACUCCUACGGGAGGCAGCAGUGGGGAAUCUUGCACAAUGGGCGAAAGCCUGAUGCAGCGACGCCGCGUGAGCGAUGAAGCCCUUCGGGGGGUAAAGCUCUUUCGACGGGAACGAUAAUGACGGUACCCGGAGAAGAAGCUGCGGCUAACUACGUGCCAGCAGCCGCGGUAAUACGUAGGCAGCGAGCGUUGUUCGGAAUUACUGGGCGUAAAGAGUGUGUAGGCGGUGUUCCCAGUCUGUUGUGAAAUCUCCCGGCUUAACUGGGAGGGUGCAGCGGAAACUAGAAUGCUAGAGGGUGGGAGAGGUAAGCGGAAUUCCUGGUGUAGCGGUGAAAUGCGUAGAUAUCAGGAGGAACACCUGUGGUGUAGACAGCUUACUGGACCACUUCUGACGCUGAGACACGAAAGCGUGGGUAGCAAACAGGAUUAGAUACCCUGGUAGUCCACGCCCUAAACGAUGCAUACUUGGUGUGAGCGAUUCAUUUCGUUCGUGCCGGAGCUAACGCGUUAAGUAUGCCGCCUGGGGAGUACGGUCGCAAGAUUAAAACUCAAAGGAAUUGACGGGGACCCGCACAAGCAGCGGAGCGUGUGGUUUAAUUCGAUGCGACGCGAAGAACCUUACCAGGGUUUGACAUGCAUUUGCACCACCCAGAGAUGGGUGUCCCUUCGGGGCGGAUGCACAGGUGCUGCAUGGCUGUCGUCAGCUCGUGCCGUGAGGUGUUGGGUUAAGUCCCGCAACGAGCGCAACCCCUGUCGUCGGUUAGGAUGUCCGGCGAGACUGCCACGCUAAACGUGGAGGAAGGUGGGGAUGACGUCAAGUCAGCACGGCCCUUACGUCCUGGGCGACACACACGCUACAAUGGUCGAGACAACGGGUUGCGAACUCGCGAGGGGGAGCUAAUCCUAUCAAACUCGGUCUCAGUUCGGAUUGCAGGCUGCAACUCGCCUGCAUGAAGCCGGAGUUGCUAGUAACCGUGGGUCAGCACACCACGGUGAAUACGUUCCCGGGUCUUGUACACAC